rnacentral:rRNA from 1 species
GACGAACGCUGGCGGCGUGCUUAACACAUGCAAGUCGAACGGAAAGGCCCUGCUUUUGUGGGGUGCUCGAGUGGCGAACGGGUGAGUAACACGUUAGUAACCUGCCCUUGACUUUGGGAUAACUUCAGGAAACUGGGGCUAAUACCGGAUAGGAGCUCCUGCUGCAUGGUGGGGGUUGGAAAGUUUCGGCGGUUGGGGAUGGACUCGCGGCUUAUCAGCUUGUUGGUGGGGUAGUGGCUUACCAAGGCUUUGACGGGUAGCCGGACUGAGAGGGUGACCGGCCACAUUGGUACUGAGAUACGGCCCAGACUCCUACGGGAGGCAGCAGUGGGGAUUAUUGCACAAUGGGCGGAAGCCUGAUGCAGCAACGCCGCGUGCGGGAUGACGGGCUUCGGGUUGUAAACCGCUUUCGCCUGUGACGAAGCGUGAGUGACGGUAAUGGGUAAAGAAGCACCGGCUAACUACGUG